rnacentral:tRNA from 1 species
CGUUCAGUGGUAGAAUGCUCGCCUGCCACGCGGGCGCCCCGGGUUCGAUUCCCGACCGA